AACAGCGUUGUGUUUGUACAAGUGAAUCCCCCUCGGCAAAGAUCUUUUCUGACAUCCAAAGGAAGACACAAAAGGAGCUGACAGGAGGCCUGGAGGAGAGGACUAAAAGUGACGACAUGGAGCUCAGCGGGGUCAAAAGUGAAGUACCUGACCCGACCAAUGGGGGUCUAACUUCACAGGAGGAACGUCAGUCUGAAGCUUCGUCUUCCAGCCCACAAGAGAAUGACCAUGAGCAACCUCAGCAACCCAUGUAUCUGUGUGAGGACUUUUGCCAGACAGUAGCUUCGUCUGUUUGAUGACAUCUGCCACAGCAAUCACUGCUGAUUGGAUGAUUUCACCCCCAUCAGACUCUGGUCCUGCAGGAGACGUCUCCUUCACUACGGAUUUACCCACAGUCCUCUGGGUGCAGAAUCAGAGCAAAAAAGUGAGCCACCUACCUGUUCAGUCAGAUAUACACUAAGAUGCAGAUGAAUGUUUUUCUGCCAAGUCAUGUUGAAACUGUAAAUUGAAUAUGUCUCUUUAAAUGUCACAUGAAUGCUGUUACCUUCGGACAGAGCCAAGCUAGUUGUUUCCCCCUGUUUCCAGUAUUUAUGCUAAGCUAAGGGUUUUAAAAUCAUUUUUAGCCGUGCAUGUUUCCCUUGUGUUUGUGAAACAGCAGCUUCACAUUACCUGACUGUUGCAGCCCUGAUAUUUGAAACAUCUGGGUCAUACAGACAUCUAAGUCAUCUUUAUUUGAACACAACCCUGUUGUAGCCCUGAUAUUUGAAACAUCUGGGUCAUACAGAUAUCUAAGUCAUCUUUAUUUGAACACAUAUCCACCCUGCACUUAUCAUCGCAGGUCUGCUGAAUUGCACAAAUUGCUGACACAAGCCUCAAUGUCCUAUUUUGCCUCGCUUUUUUUUUCCCCCCAUAUUUGAUUUUUGCACUUCGUCACAUGUGCUCAUCCUUACAAACCGGGUUAUUUUAAGCACCCGUCUGGAUGUUUUAGCGGGGGAGGAAAGCGAGAGUUUGUGUCUCAGGGAUAAAUACAAACAGACACAGCUGGGACAAACAGGGUAAGUCAUCUAGUCUGCACUUUUGCCCCCUCAGGCAUCUAAAGUCAACACAGCAUUACUGAAUUCCACCAAGUGUGUUGUUAUAUAUCUGCGUUGUCAAGAGUAAGUGAUUACAUUUUAACCAAAAGUAUGUAUUUUUUAUGCUACGGAAUAAAAACUACAUGGCAUAUUUAUAGAUUUCUCAGUUUGUUGUCUCUGAGAGUCUACAGUGGGAUCUUUAAUUGUGGGAUUUUUUGCAAGAGACUGUGUACAAGCAACAGAAACUUAAAAUGGAAACCGAAUUCA